rnacentral:rRNA from 1 species
CAGUCGCCGCGGUAAGACAGAGGAUGCAAGCGUUAUCCGGAAUGAUUGGGCGUAAAGCGUCUGUAGGUGGCUUUUCAAGUCCGCCGCCAAAUCCCAGGGCUCAACCCUGGACAGGCGGUGGAAACUACCAAGCUGGAGUACGGUAGGGGCAGAGGGAAUUUCCAGUGGAGCGGUGAAAUGCGUUGAGAUCGAAAAGAACACCAACAGCGAAAGCACUCUGCUGGGACGACACUGACACUAAGAGACGAAAGCUAGGGGAGCAAAUGGGAUUAGAUACCCCAGUAGUCCCUGUCUCUUAUAC